rnacentral:rRNA from 1 species
UACGUAGGGUGCAAGCGUUGUCCGGAAUUAUUGGGCGUAAAGAGCUCGUAGGCGGUUUGUCGCGUCUGCUGUGAAAACGCGAGGCUCAACCUCGCGCCUGCAGUGGGUACGGGCAGACUAGAGUGUGGUAGGGGAGAUUGGAAUUCCUGGUGUAGCGGUGAAAUGCGCAGAUAUCAGGAAGAACACCCGUGGCGAAGGCGGCUCUCUGGUACGUGACUGACGCUGAGACGCGAAAGCGUGGGGAGCGAACGGG